GACUAUUGUUGUGUGCGCUUGUGAGGUUAAUCAGAGACUGCCGUAGCAAGUGAUGACUCAAAUUUUGCUGAUCGUUCGAAUUUUCUCCGCUGGAAAUAUACAGAAUAAAAACGAGAAUUGCGCAUGAAACUGAUUUGUAUGUAUGUGUAUAUGACUGUGUGGAUCAGUAGCUGUUUGAAUCGAAUGUAUGUAUGUAAACAAAAAAGUGUAACAAAAUUUAGACUAUAUACAUACAUACAUACAAUAUAAACUAUAAAUUGUUCAAUUAAAAAUACAAUAGUUUUUAAAUUCCAAGCCGUGCAAUGAAUUUCAUUCUAGUGCUUAAAAUGAAAUUAAAAAAAAUACACAAAUGAUAUACCUACAGUUCAGAUCUAGACUAGAGAUGGUGUAGCAUUGAUUUACAAAUUUUAAACAAAACAAAAAAAAGGAAAUUCUACCCCCCAAACGGAAAUAUACACAGUUCAAUUCAAAUACAUAUUUUCUAAACAACUUAGUUUGGUUUUUUGUAUAUAUUGUGGAUGAAUCUUCGAUUGACGAAACCUGGAUAAGGAUAUAAAUUUGUAACUCUCAAAAAAAUUUUAUAUGGUAGAUAUUUUAAAAUGCACUUUACCGCAUAUUGGAAAUAUUAUAUUUCAGAAUUCUGUUAUCUGCAUGACACUGUAAUGCAGUAAAUAAAAAAAUACGUACGUAUAUAUGAGAAAAAUAAAAACAUUUCUCGUUAUAUUUCAUCUCAACGUUCCUUAUAUUAAAAUACGAGUACUAAAUCUUUAACAA